rnacentral:lncRNA from 1 species
UGACAAGAUGGAAAAAUUAAAUCUCCAGUUCAUCGGGUUAUUUGAGAUCUUAGACAGUAUUGGUACGACAGCCUAAAGACUGACACCAUCUCCAGAGCUAUUGAUGCAAACAACGCUAAAAAUACUCAAGAUACUCAAAGAGCAUCAAAAGGUGACUUGGAGCAAAUUUCAAAUGACGUGAACACAAAUAGAGUUCCAAACCUGGAAAGUUUCAGCGGACUAGUAACAAGAUCGAAGGUAAAAAAGUUUAAAGAGUUGCUCUAACUUUUCACUUAAAAACAUGUCGAUGAUGGGCUGGCCAAUUGUGA